AGGACCCGUCCUGAAACACGGACCAGGAGUCUAGCAUAUAUGCAAGUCAUCGAGUCAAUAUUUUUAGACUCAUAGGCGUAAUUAACGUAAAUGUAUAUAAUUUAUAAUAUAUAAAAUUUAAUUUUAUUAUUUUUUAUAUAAUUAUACUAAAAUGUAUUUAGGGAAGAUGAGUAGGAAUAUUGUAAGCUACUCCGCAUUCCCGGGGCGUUCCAUAUAAAUUUUAAUAUAAAUAUUUUUAUUUAUUUUAUAAUUUGGGGCGCACCAAGAGCAUAUACGCUGGGACCCGAAAGAUGGUGAACUAUGC
rnacentral:rRNA from 1 species